UAGCCGCAUGGGCAGAGACCUCCCAUUACUGAUUGCAAAUGGCCUGGUCCUGUGGAUGGGCGGUGUGGCUGUUACACCAUCCUAGGGCUUGUAGGGCAAUGCCCUGACUGUGUAGCCUUAAUUGCAAAGCGACUGUACUUAGAACAGUAAACCGAAAGCUUUAUAAGCUCUAUAUGCCAGAGUUGGGUGGGGGGAGGACUUUCUAUCUUAAACAUAUUGUGGUGUUGGCAGCUACAGAAAAAAAGAAACCUUGACCAUGAUUCGUGCGGGUGAGCGGAAAUGGUUCUUGACUCAUCAGGAGCUGUGUUUGUGACGUUUCCCAGGCCACCUGUUACUGGCUGAGACUCUCAGCGCCAUUCUGAUGUGUGCCUGAAAACCACUGCAGUUGCCCUGAAAAGAGGAAGAGCCUGUUAAACCUGGAGUCGUCACAAAGUUCUCUUCCUCUGCUUGUCUCUGAUUCCAGGGGAGUGCUUCCAAGAAGAAAGAGUUUGUGAUCAGUCUUCAAUACACAGAUACGUGGGAUAACUGCAUCCUGUCUUAUGCCAUAUGGGGCAGUGACUUCUUGGAAAAUGUCUCUCCUCUGGAUUAAGGUGACCCAAGCAUCUUUACUGUUAAUAUUAAUUUCAGCCUUUACAGCUCUGUUACAAUGGUGCUUUUCUCAAAAGAAGAAAAUUCCUCCUACUCAAGAUCAUGCUCUGAUAAUAAAUGUUAAAUAUUCUAUUUACUCUUUAAAGAAACAGCACUGAUUUUUUUUAAAUGUCAAUUCCUUGCCUGUGCUGCAAGUAAUAACACAGAUCAACUGAAGAACAUUUUAAAAGUCAGAAUGCCUCCUCAUCAUUUUGGCUGUUUUGCUUCACUCGGUGGGGGAGACUAGUCGUUUCGCUCUCUGGGUCUGUGCAGUAACCGUUGUGCAGCAAAGCUAAAUGUUUCAUGGAAGAGCUCCAUGCUGAAAAUUAUUCAUGGGCUUCCUUUUCUCCUGUUUCCCCCCUUUUUUUUCCUGUUCCUCUUUUUUCCUUGAAGAAACCUUGCUAAAGAUUUCCUAGCCUAACCUUUUUCCUUCUUGUCGUUUAAAGAUGCCAGGGAAGAUGCAUAAAAAAGCUGGGAUAUAAAGAAAGCAGGUUACCUUUCAGUGCACAAAAAACACCUGCAAUUCCAUUGAGGGGGCCAAAGUAAUAACAAGAGUUAUUAAGAUUAAAAAACCCCCAAAAACCCAAACCCUAUGCAGAUGCCUUGUUGCUUAUUAGUGCUCAGGUGUUUAUUUCUGGUAGUCAGUCUUGGUGCUGUAGUGCUGCUGGAAGGGGCUAAGUCGACAGCUCCAGAAAAGGACAUCCUUUUCGCAUAGAAUAAGGUAUGGCUUAGGGUAGUCAAGUAUGCACGUUGUUCAGUGUCCACGUCCUAUUCAGUCCUUGCCCUCUGUACUGUGAUUGCCAAGAUCAGCGAUGGUUUUGUGACAUGGACAUUGACUCAGCUGAACAGAUGGUAGCACAGUUAAGUCCCAGAUCUAGGUUGAUCAUAUCAUUUGAUCUAGCACUUCAUAUUUAUUGCCAACUGCUGGACCUAUCAAAGGAAGCAUCAGCUUCAAAUUAUU